AGUGGUUUCUGCUAAAGAAACCUUUUGUCAGUCCUAGAAACACUAACGAAUAAGGGGUGGGCAGGUUCUGGUGUCAGCCGCCGCGGUAAAACCAGCACCUCAAGUGGUCAGGAUGAUUAUUGGGCCUAAAGCAUCCGUAGCUCGUUUUGUAAGUUUUCGGUUAAAUCCAUGCGCUUAACGUAUGGGCUGCCGGGAAUACUGCAUAACUAGGAAGUGGGAGAGGUAGACGGUACUCGGUAGGAAGGGGUAAAAUCCUUUGAUCUAUUGAUGACCACCUGUGGCGAAGGCGGUCUACCAGAACACGUUCGACGGUGAGGGAUGAAAGCUGGGGGAGCAAACCGGAUUAGAUACCCGGGUAGUCCCAGCUGUUAACUAUGCAAACUCAGUGAUGCAUUGGCUUGUGGCCAAUGCAGUGCUGCAGGGAAGCCGUUAAGUUUGCCGCCUGGGAAGUACGUACGCAAGUAUGAAACUUAAAGGAAUUGGCGGGGGAGCACCACAAGGGGUGAAGCCUGCGGUUCAAUUGGAGUCAACGCCAGAAAUCUUACCCGGAGAGACAGCAGAAUGAAGGUCAAGCUGAAGACUUUACCAGACAAGCUGAGAGGUGGUGCAUGGCCGUCGCCAGCUCGUGCCGUGAGAUGUCCUGUUAAGUCAGGUAACGAGCGAGAUCC
rnacentral:rRNA from 1 species